GAUGAACGCUGGCGGCGUGCCUAAUACAUGCAAGUCGAGCGAACAGACGAGGAGCUUGCUCCUUUGACGUUAGCGGCGGACGGGUGAGUAACACGUGGGUAACCUACCUAUAAGACUGGGAUAACUUCGGGAAACCGGAGCUAAUACCGGAUAAUAUUUCGAACCGCAUGGUUCGAUAGUGAAAGAUGGCUUUGCUAUCACUUAUAGAUGGACCUGCGCCGUAUUAGCUAGUUGGUAAGGUAACGGCUUACCAAGGCAACGAUACGUAACCGACCUGAGAGGGUGAUCGGCCAAACUGGAACUUAAACACCGUCCAAACUCCUACGGGAGGCAGCAGUAGGGAAUCUUCCGCAAUGGGCGAAAGCCUGACGGAGCAACGCCGCGUGAGUGAUGAAGGUCUUCGGAUCGUAAAACUCUGUUAUUAGGGAAGAACAAACGUGUAAGUAACUGUGCACGUCUUGACGGUACCUAAUCAGAAAGCCACGGCUAACUACGUG
rnacentral:rRNA from 1 species